rnacentral:rRNA from 1 species
GACGAACGCUGGCGGCGUGCCUAAUACAUGCAAGUCGAACGCAGUGGGGACGGGUGAGUAACACGUGGGUAACCUCCCAUCAGAGGGGAUAACCCUUGGAAACAGGUGCUAAACCGCUACUGAUGUAUGGACCCGCGGUGCAUUAGCUAGUUGGUGAGGUAACGGCGCACCAAGGCCACGAUGCUUAGCCGACCUGAGAGGGUGACCGGCCACACUGGGACUGAGACACGGCCCAGACUCCUACGGGAGGCAGCAGUGGGGAAUCUUCGGCAAUGGACGAAAGUCUGACCGAGCAACGCCGCGUGAGUGAAGAAGGUUUUCGGAUCGUAAAGCUCUGUUGUUAGAGAAGCGUUAUCUAACCAGAAAGCCACGGCUAACUACGUGCCAGCCGCCGCGGUAAUUC